UCAUGUGUGUAUUUGUGCCAACAGAGUUUCAUGAGAACACCAAAAGUUUAUUUUUUCAUCAAAAGCAGGUGUGUGUUUUUGCUGUAUGAUUUUGACUCUUUGUAUUUCUCUUAGUUUUUCUGACUCUGUCAGGGCGAGACUCUUCUCCAGCGAUCCAUGAGGAGUUCUUCUCGUUGACUUCCUCAAAUCCAAGAUCUUAGUAAACACUUUUGCUUGAUCAUCUGAAUGAAGGACGGCGUUUGGCUCUCACCUGCUCUCUGGAUUGAAGUGAAAACUCCUCAUCGUGGAUUCUUCAUCUGAUUCGUGAUGUUCAGUGGUUUACAGGAGGUGUGGAUCAGCGCGUGGAUCAUCCGUGUGCUCAGUUGUGUGUUUUUUCUCCACUGAGAGAUGACUUACUUUAAUGAGACGCUCAUCUUUACUCGUGAUGACUGGAGUGUAAACAGCACUUGUCUGUUUUCUUUGGCUGCACCUCAACUCAGCGUGUGACGCACUUUCACAAAUCCUUCAGCUGGUGUGAACAAUCUCACACACACUAUGAUCAUAGACUGAAACACAAGUCAAUAAUAGUUGACAUGUGUGAUGCUGUAUGCUGAUUGGUUAAUACAGUGUUCCUGUCCUGUUAAAACAUUGAUGAUGUGAAGCAGCUGACAACUAUUCAAAUCAACUGUUUUUAUUUGUUCAACAUGAAGAUACACAGAAAAACAUGAUUAUGUGCCUUAGUAGAUUCUAUGAAAAGAAAUGAUUAAAAUAUACUUAAUAGAAUAAUGUUUCUGUUUUCAACAA